rnacentral:rRNA from 1 species
AUUGAACGCUGGCGGCAUGCCUUACACAUGCAAGUCGAACGGUAGCGGGCCUUCGGGUGCCGACGAGUGGCGAACGGGUGAGUAAUGUAUCGGAACGUACCUUUCAGUGGGGGAUAACGUAGCGAAAGUUACGCUAAUACCGCAUAUUCUGUGCGCAGGAAAGCAGGGGACCUUCGGGCCUUGCGCUGAUUGAGCGGCCGAUAUCAGAUUAGCUAGUUGGUGAGGUAAAGGCUCACCAAGGCAACGAUCUGUAGCGGGUCUGAGAGGAUGAUCCGCCACACUGGUACUGAGACACGGUCCAGACUCCUACGGGAGGCAGCAGUGGGGAAUUUUGGACAAUGGGGGCAACCCUGAUCCAGCCAUGCCGCGUGAGUGAAGAAGGCCUUCGGGUUGUAAAGCUCUUUCGGCCGGGAAGAAAUCGUAUCAGCUAAUACCUGGUGCGGAUGACGGUACCGGCAUAAGAAGCACCGGCUAACUACGUGCCAGCCGCCGCUGUAACAC